AACACCAUGCCAACUAUCUUGUUUGUUUCCUUGAUGGGUUCUUUGUUGCAUGGUUAAUUGGUUUUGGAAGUUCGGUAGUGGAAGGUUGUUGGAAUUGCUGUGAUUAACCUCAUUCUAUUGAAUAAGCGUCUUUUUGAAGUGCUUUUGGAAGAGUGGAAAUAUUAGAUUGUAGUCUCAUAAUUCCAAAGGUGAAGGAUCAAGUUCUUAGACCAAUUUUCCCAAUUUGACUGUGAGGAAUGUUGGUUCUCGGUGGCAAGUGUAUUUGCCUUUUCUUUCUUUUCUUUUCUUUUUUCUUUUUUUUUUUUUUUUUUUGAGAAGGCUGGUUGGGGCGAAAUACUACAGUUAAGGGUCUUGUUGGUUCUUCUCAAGGUUCUUAAAAAGUGGUGAACUUGUUGUUAAGGCGUUUGAUUGUUUUGGUUCGACCAUGAGAUGAUUUUGUUCUAGGAACUCAAAUCCACUUCUUGUCGAAUCAAACCUGAAGCUUUUGUGUUGGGUUUGUUUUCCUAUUCUCUUCUUGUUUUUUGUCGUUGCCUUGAGUGCUUCAUUAAUUGUCAAGCCGGUGUAAUGUUGUUCCCACUGAGACAUUUUUAAUUGUUGUAACGCAUGGCUCGUUAUUUAAUCCCCAUCAAGAUUCUGAAUACAUAUGCUUGUGUAUCCAUGCAGGAAGUAGAAAAUUGAUUGGUGUGUUUUGCUGCUCUGUUUUCGGGGCUGGAAAGGGCAAUAUUGUGAGAUUGGUUCUUGGAAAUUUAUGAUAUAGGUGUAAUUACAAGAAUCUAUUUUGCAUGUUUAGUUGGAUAACGUGAAAUCCUUGAUGCAUGAUGCGGUUUUCUG
rnacentral:lncRNA from 1 species